UCUCUCUCUUUCAUGCUUUCUGACUCAUUUCUGACUCUUUCAUCUCAUCCUCCAGGGUACCUCUGUGUGGUCCUUCUCUUCAGCUGGAUAGCCUGGAUUUCCGUACAGAAUGUCAGCUGGGUGCCCAGAAAGCAAAGGGAGAAGCCACUGGACAAGAUCUUAACCUAGAACUGGCCCUGGAGACAGGUCCUCUGGGAGGUAAUUGAGGCUGGAUUAGGCCAUGAGGGUAGAGCCUCAUGAGGUUUUAAGAAGAAGAGAGAUCUCUCUCUCUCACCACUACAUGAGGACACAGUGAGGAGGUGGCAGUCAGCAAGCUGGGCAGGGAGCCUCAGUGGGAACCCAGUUUGGCUGGCGUCUUGAUCUUGGACUUCCCGGGCUCCAGAGAACUACGGAAAAUGGCCAGGUAUCCAGAUCACUAGAGGCAGCCUCUAUACCACUGAAAUGAUGCAAACUGAGCAAUCCUAAAUCUGCUUACUCUGUCUGGCCUGUUCCUCUGGCAGAAGCCACCAUAAGGGGUCUUGCCCAUGAUUUCUUCCUGCACCUUCUGCCUGCUCCUCAGCCCUGGUGACUUUUAUGGUGUGCCAUGUCCCCUCUACUUGGGGAUGUAAGUAACAGACUAUCUCUUCAAUGGAAGUCAUCUUCUGACCUGUAAGCCUCACUGUACCUAAAUAAUAAUAA